rnacentral:lncRNA from 1 species
CUUUUUUUAACUUCCAAACCCUAACUUUUUCUUUUCAAUUUCAUCUUCCUAAAAUUUUCAACCCCAACCACCGUCAGCCUUCCCUUUGCAAAUUCGGCCACCGUCGUCCCCCACCACCUGAACCCCCUCUUCCCUGGGCUUCCUCUUCCCACCCAACCACGCACCUUUCCAACUGCGCUCUUCACUUUUCCCUUAUCCCCCUCACCGUCCGCCCCACACACCCUACGACCAACCACCCUUACACUAUCCCCUCUCUUCUCCAUCUCCCUUUCAUAUCCCCCGCCCUAGUUCCAGCCCCAUUGCACCGCGCAACGCCAUACUCCCUCACCCACCAGCAGCACCUCAACCACUGACCACCACACAACCUCCUUGCCCACCCCCUUUCCUUCUCAUCCCAC